UUCAUGUACAUGUACAUGUAGGUUGGGAGUCUCAGUUAUUUGAAAUGGGUUUCCUUGCAAUGUUCUUAUCUCCAGUUUUGAGUUUGAGCCAGUUUCCAAGUCACACGCCCACAAGCUGGACCAAUGUCUGGGGAAAUCGCUGGAUGAUAUUCCGCAUUAUGAUUGGAGCUGGUUUGAUAAAGAUGAGAGGCGAUAGCUGUUGGAGGGACUUGACUUGUAUGAACUAUCAUUAUGAGGGUCCUCCCACUGUUGUUAAAAGAGACAGUGAUCUGUCUUGUGUUAGUGUCUUAAGUUUAAGUGAAGGGAAUCAGAAAGAGGAGGAGGAGGAGAAAAGGCGUCAAUCACUUGUAGAACAGGAGCUAUUAUAAUGUUUAUAGACAGGCAAGAGAGCUAUUUGAUGAUAAACCUCAUCAAUACAUCACUAAUGACACUACACCAACUGUCUCUGGCAAAGCCACACCCACUAUCACCAUGGCAACCAAUAAUCACCACAAAAGUGCUGACUCAUCAAAAUCAUUGAUUAUGGCACCUAAAAUUAUGAUGCCUAAGAGUACUGUUACUAUAGUAACCAACACUGGGUGGAGUCUACUUUUUAAUGACACACCCACUUGCAAUCAGAGCAUUAAAGUGUCUGACUUUAAUAAGAAAGGUUCUGGUGUUUCCAAAGCAACACAAGCCAGUUCUGGGUGUGGCUCAACACUCUCUCCUCCUUGCACUUUAAAGAUGCUCUCCGAUACUGUUUCCAUGGCAACAAAAGCUGAUAGGACGAUGAGUUUUGGUAGCUUCAGUGACGGGUCUGGGGGCGUGGCUUUUAGUUGCUAUGACGACAGCAAAUGUGAUGCUUUUGUGGAAGACGUAUACAAAGUUUUUUGGAUGCUUCUCCUCCUCCUUUGACUCCACCCACUUCAUCAUUGACUGACAGGAAAUACACUGAUACUUCAUUACUGCUGUUUCCUAAAAUACAGUGUACUACUGAUGUCUCUUCUAUCCAAUCCACUGACACUACUAUUGAUGACCAGUGGAACAUUGCUGAUAGCAUAUCACAGAAAUACCUAACCAAGAACAUCAUACAACCACCACCACAGCUCCUCCCUCCUCCUCCUCUCCUUCCCUAGUGCUAAUUCUUCAUUAGUUCCUCAUGAGUUCAGUGUGGAUAGUCAGUCUUAUCUGAAGAGACAUGUCUCUCAGUAUUGUCACUAGAGGAGAAUGAUGAAAACUAUGUGGCAUUAUCAGGAGUAAACUAUUGGAACUCUUCUUUAUGUGUCAUUUUAAGAAGGAUAUCCAGCAUUUUUGUGAUUUUACACAAUUUUAUCAAUUUUCAUUAUCAAUUUAUUUUUGUCUAUGUUUUGCAAUGCUUAGCUGCUAAAGUAAAGUGGUCCUUGCA
rnacentral:lncRNA from 1 species